AAAGCUGGAUGGGACUUGGUUAAGGCCACAGAGACCCUACCUCUCAGCUAAAACCAAAGCUGCCUCUGCCUAUCACUAUCUGACAAUUCCCUUUUCUCAUUCCUGGUACCCACGAUGCAGAACAGGCAGAAAUUGGCUGCUUCCUAUACAAAGCGCCUGCCUGAAGGAAGCCAUUAAAUCCUCCUCGUUGACCCCAAAUAUAGACGGAGGCAACAGCUCUCCCCUCAAAGGGUUUUUCGCUGGAUCUAAACACUGGCCUCAAAUAAUUCCAAAUAAUCAGUCCGUCGCUGUGCCUAAAAUCCUAUCGGGAUUCAUUCCCAACUAUUACAGUAUGGAGUCUUUUGAAACCUGUAAUUGAAGACAGGGAUCUCUCUCUGGGAAAGACCCAGUCUGGGCCUUGAGAGCAUAAGCUCUGAAAUGGGUUAACUUGGAAGGAGUAGACGCUAAAAGAGAAGGCACGCUGGUCUGAAAUGACAGAACUGGGUGUGGGCAUCGUGGUUCAGGGGGUUCGCAAGGGCAGCUGGCUUCAGGGAGGGUACCCUAAGGGAGCCUUUCGUAGAUGUCAGUGUUUUCCAAAGUGUGGGAAAGGAGGAAAAGACAGUAAGGAGGGAAGAGGGAACCAUAAGAAGGAGCAGAGGGGAAGGGAAGGAAGAAAGGAGGGAGGGAGGGAGGGAGAGGGAGGCAGGCAUAGGACAAACCUAGGGAAACAGGUCUGCAGAUCAAAUCCGGCCCAGGGGUUGAGAUUUCUCUGGAUGCGCAGACGGGAGCCAGGAAGCUUCAUAAGGAUGGGCAGGGCACGAGCAGGUGCCGUGGACCAGUCACAGCCCGAGACCCAGACAGGUCCACGUGUGCAUGCGCAGAGUCUGUGCUGGCAUCUAUUCUGAUUGGUCCGUUUGCGGCAGCCUGGAUCCUGAUUGGCCGAGAACCAGCCUCUGUGUUGCGUGGACCUCCGACCCCACCCCAGAUCCCAGAUCCCAGAUCCCAGAUCCCAGAUCCGAGACCGCAAUGGGCCUCACAGGCUGCAGCAGAGGGCACCUCGGUAGCAUCCCUCGGACCUAUCCGGACCCCCGGGCACAUGGAAGAGCGGGAACCCUGACAUGACACCCAAGAGAAGGCAAGGAAUGCCUGGGAAAAUUGCCGCAUUUUCCAUCACAGCGAAAUGGAGCUCGGAAUGGAAAAUAAAGGACUCCUCGGGCUCAAGGACUCCGACAGGAUCGAUGGGAACCGUCCCCAGUAUGGUGGUCUUCAAAGCACGAGCUCAUUCCGCCCGCGUCGCUGGCCACCCCGUCCUGCCCCUCACCACCAGAGUCAGCCCCAAAGGAACCCUCCACAGAUCAAGAUCUUUGUAUUAUAAACUGACUUUUAAUAAUAAAAAAAUCUAUCAUGACUUUAAUGAGAAGAUCUGUACAUUUUAAAGUAAACCAGUGCACAACGCCCUUGCCCUCAGGGGCCCCUC